UACGUAGGGGGCAAGCGUUAUCCGGAUUUACUGGGUGUAAAGGGAGCGUAGACGGCGAUGCAAGCCAGAUGUGAAAGCCCGGGGCUCAACCCCGGGACUGCAUUUGGAACUGUAUAGCUAGAGUGUCGGAGAGGCAGGCGGAAUUCCUAGUGUAGCGGUGAAAUGCGUAGAUAUUAGGAGGAACACCAGUGGCGAAGGCGGCCUGCUGGACGAUGACUGACGUUGAGGCCCGAAAGCGUGGGGAGCAAACAGG
rnacentral:rRNA from 1 species